CGCGAAAUCUCGCUCGCAAAGACGAAGAUCGAAGAGGCGGUUAUGUGGGCGGUCAAGCACAUCACAGCUUAACUCAGUCGCUAAACUGGCUGAUUAGCCGCGAUGAUUGCUUUGUGAGCAUCUUGUCUGAACAAGCGCAAAUCCCGAAUAGCCGGGAGGCCGCGUAGUGAGUGGAGCAAUGUCCAUGAAGCUUUUGACGGUGACUUACCGCGAGAAU
rnacentral:misc_RNA from 1 species